UGAAUCUCUGGAAGACCCAAACCGCAGGCUCAGACACAGUGACAUUUCCUGUGUCACAAAUCCAAGCUCCGCCCCCCGAAGCACCGCUAUGCAGGCCAGACUCGGAAAAUUAGAGAGAACAAUUGUGGAACAAGCAUGUGUGUUAGCAGAUUGCUGUGCUUGAAAGAAAGCUAAUUAUGAUAUCAGCUUUCAUCAUGUCCCCAAAGAGAUCAGUGUCAGAAAGCUGAAUAGCCCCUAUGUUACCUGCUUCUUCUACUACACCUGCAAUGUUAGGUUUAGCUAGCAUGAAGAGGAGUGUGCAGAGCAGCGCUGUCUCUGCCCACGACUCAGAGGCGAAUUGCUAAUGAGCUAAAAGAAAAAAAAGGGAUUGGAGUGAAACUUUAAAUAAAGGGUUAAAAUGAUUUCCAAACAGUCAACUAUGGUUUUUAUCAUCAAGCUGCAGCGUUCAGCUCUCCAGCUUUUUUGUACAUUUUUAGAGAUAAAAAUUGUGCCCAUACGGGUCAUAAUAAAUGCUCUAUAUCAAUGUUUUUUUGCAGAGACAAUCAUGCUGUGAAACUUUCCACUAAAAAUGAUAUAUUUUCAGUAACUACGGGGACAAACAUCUUCAAUAACCUCGAGAUGAACUAUUUUAAGUCUGAACAAGGCAGUUUGUGUGUGUACGUGUGUGUAUGUGUGUGUGUGUAUGUGUGUGUGUGUGUGUGUGUGUGUGUGUGUGUGUGUGUGUGUGUGUGUGUUUGUGUUUCCAAAUCUGUGUACAAGCUCAACUUUGUACGUGUGUGCGUCUGAUGCUGGGAGUGUGUAAUUAUGGACAGAUUAUGGGAGAAGCGGACGGCAUGAAGCAGUCUUUGAUGGGAUUAAGCACUCAAUUACCCAGCUAAGUCUGUCCCCCCUCCCAAAUGCACAGGUUCAAACAUUUCACACACACAUGCAGACACGUACACUUGAACAAACACAUCGGCGAGUACACAAGUACACACAAAGAGUCUUUUUCUGCAACUAAAAGUGUGUGAUCCGUGCACACCUCACACAAUAUUUCUUUAUUUCUGUCCCAUCUAAAGCAUCAGUCUUUCAAACAGUAUGUCAGUUUGUCACUUCUUGAGUGUAUCAGAUACUUUACUAAUUCUAUGAUAAUAACCAAGGGAGACAUUUAGUGACUUUACCUCUGCAGUAGAUUCAGAAUUUGGCUGCUUUUCCAGUUCUACACAGAGAAAUGCAUGGGUGUUACUUUUUACACAGCUGUGUAGUCAUGAAAUUCCCCAAAAUGUAUGCCUUUACAGAAAGUCUGGGGCCAGCCAUUAGCACCCACAUCGGCUUCCUGUUAUAGGUCACCAAUUGUUACAUUUGUUGCUGAUAAAGUGUGACUUUUAGUUCUGAGCCUUCAAGUCUCGUACUUGCCUUUGAGACAAAAACAUCACCAGUUAAGUGGUGAAAACGUACGGCUAUAUUGUGGCUUUUGUUACCAUGAAAACAUCAAACCUCCCUCUGCUUUCUGACAACAUUCCUUCACAACAAUGAAUACACUUAUAAGGAACUUACCAACACAUACUGAAUGAAGAAAGUGCAGAGAGGAGGGAAAAGCCAAGCAGAGGAAUGGACUUUUUGGCGGGUGAGACGUGUCCUUGAAGAGCUGUUGGGUGGGUGCAUUCUUACACAUUGUCUUGGCAGGUGCCUGUUUAUUACAAAGAGAAGACUGUUUGAGAGGAGGCUGCACAACACAAGAAAAGAAACAGAUAUUAAAAAAAAAAUCAAACCAUUGCUCCUGAGUUACUUUUUUGAUAUCCGCGGGUUAUCCAAGCAUGAUGCACUUUUAGUUUUCUGUACAGGUGUUUUGUAAAAUCAAUCAACAGACUGCAGUGUGUCUGGCUGCGUCUUUAAUGCUCCAAUAUGCUUGGUACCUCAGCAAACAGGUUUAAAAAAAAGUCAGAUGUUACACAAUGGUUACUUUGAUUACAAUGUCUGUAAUUACAUCCUGUACACAAAUAAAAAUGAACCAGGCCAUAGACUGUAAACACUAUGAAAAAAUUGGUUGAAUUUGAGGCCAAAUUGCUCCCAGUAUUUCCGGGAUUUUCUCAACUUCCUGGAACCACCACUUGCGCAGUAGCGUAGUACCAUAGACUGUAUAAAGAAUGGACAGAGUCUGCCUCCUUGCUGGUUGAAGCCACUCUGAGAACAGCGCCCUCUGUUGAUGGGCUGCAGUAUAGGUCAUAAAUCCUGCCUCCGCCAGCAAAGCUUAUGGGGCUGUGGACAAACUUUAGAAAUUUAUUACACAGACCAUAAUUUUUUCUGCUUGUGAUGUUGACAUGGAGUUACAAUAAGACUGGUUUGUGCUCAAGUCCUCUUUUGUUGUGAAGCUCCGUUUUUAAAAGUUAUUAGGGGGUUCAUAUUUUCUAUGAUUGACACUUGAUAUAGCCUAUGGGCGUUCAGGGAUUGCGUAGCUCUCCCGGGGGAUACGCUGUUUGAACAGUGCAUCACCACAGCCAAUCUCGGCGACUGCGUGGCCGAAUGCGCGCAUCGCAUCGCUCAGCCCAAACAGCAUAUCCUCCUAGUGAGCUACGCAAUCUUUGAACGCCCACAGGCUAUAUCAAGUGUCAAUCAUAGAAAAUAUGAACCCCCUAAUAACUUUUAAAAAUGGAGCUGCACAGAAAAAAGAGGACUUGAGCACAAACCAGUCUUAUUGUAACUCCAUGUCAACAUCACAAGCAGGGGGGGGAGAAAAAUGUAUAUUCUGUGUAAUAAAUUUCUAAAGUUUGUCCACAACUCCAUAGGGAUUGCUGGAGGAGGCAGGAUUUUUUACCUUUACUGCAGCCCUUCAACAGUGAGUGUUGUUCUCGCAGUGGCUUCACCCAGCAAGGAAGUAGACGGUGCCUAUUCUAUAUACAGUCCAUGAACCAGACCUUUCAGAGGAAAAUCCAGCUUUAGAGCCACUUGGUACCAGAGAGCCGGGCAUUGAUAAAUAUCUGUGUGGUCAUUCAUCAUUUGACUCUGUCCAGAUACAUGUUGUCAUACAACCGUUUCAUGAUGCGGUCCUUGGAUCAUUCAGGCAUCACUCAAUCACCACAUCCUCACCGCAUCAGAUUUCUCAUCCAGGCAGUGUACAAUGUGUUGCCCAGUCCAUCGAACCUGCACACAUGGGGUUUAGCAGAGUCACCCGCUUGCCCAUUGUGUUCCAAGAGAGGCACCUUAGAACACGUCCUAAGCAGCUGCACUACAGCAUUAGGAGAAGGGCGCUACUGGUGGAGGCACGACCAAGUUCUGAAGACCAUCGCUGAAUCCAUCAGCACAGGACUGGCAUGGGCAAAGCAGUGCCGCCCCCCUAAGAACACCAUCGCUUUUGUCAGGGCUGGGGAGCAGGGUGCCACAGCCAAAAGGGUACCAGCAGGCAUCCUUACCUCUGCAAGAGACUGGCAGCUGCUAGUGGACCUUGAACAUCAACUGAAGUUCCCUAGCCAUAUUGCAGUCACCACCCUCCGUCCUGACAUUGUCCUUGUGUCAGAGACCACCAAGCAAUUGAUAAUGCUGGAACUGACCGUCCCGUGGGAAGACCGCCUGGAAGAAGCCUUUGAGAGGAAGCUCUCCAAGUACACGGGACUGGUCAAUGACUGUCAGCAAUCAGGAUGGAGGGUGAAGUGCCUUCCAGUGGUGGUUGGCUGCAGGGGCUUUGCGGCCUGGUCCUUUGCCAGCACACUGGGUUGUCUAGGCAUCGUUGGACAACCGAAGAGGAGAGCCAUCCGCAAUACCACUGAAGCAGCAGAGAGGGCCUCAAGAUGGCUGUGGCUCAAGAGAGGAGAACCAUGGGGUUGUGGUAGCUAGCAUGCCAUCUGGACACAAGCCGGGGCCUGAUCAGCCCCGGCUGGGUCACCUGGAUGAGGGUGUAUGAUGUUGAAAGACCCAAAACACCCAGUGAUUCCAGGAACAUCACUGAUGAUGUGUCCAGUUGCAUUACUAGAUGUAUUUACAAAACAAUCACAGCUCUUUUUUCCAUAAUUCAACCAUUGUCGUCAUUAUUGUAAAAAUAAAAAUAAAACUUAAAUAUUCUCAAAAAAUAUUAAGAAUUUGUUAAUUUGUCAUAAAUCUUGUGUUUUCUUCUUUAUUAUCUGAGGUUUUGCAUUAAUCCCCUCAGCAAACUACUCUAAUUCCUACAUGUUAGAGUUCACAUAGAAAUGUACCAGUGACACUCCAUAACAGAUUUACAAGCCGUGGCUUUCAGCAGAACAGCCAAAUAUUUUUCAAAAGGUGUUUCUUUUUUGGCAAAAUAUUGAGUACUGCUGUCACUCUUGAUUAUGAACGUUACCUCUUAAUUCAAACAUUUGCUGACAGUAGUUCUGCCUAAAACUGUGGCUGUACAACUGAUCUGUUUUGAAGAAAGAAAGCCUCCUUUUCUGAGAAGAAGCUGCAAAGCAACAAAUAUUGAAUUAAAUAAAAACCAAGAGUGCUGCUAUUUAUUAGUGGCAGGUCGAUGCUUUUCUUUUUUGUUGAUUUGAUUUGAGUUUGGCAUUUAAAAAUUAAUGUCACCAAAAAAUAAUUCAGCUAUUAGAUAUAAAAGGAUAAAUAGCCAUCCCUUUAACAAGUUUCUUACCCAUUUGUUUCUAAAAAGCUUAAAAAAUGCAACAUGAUUUCUUUAUUUGAUUUGCUCUUAUUGAAAACUUGAUGGUUUAAAAGAGUUUCUAAAGUAGGUCCUUUUUAUUUCUGACAGGCUGCAUGCAUGAUGUGCAGUUAAAUGUAAUGUGUCACAGGAAUGUUUCACUUUGUCUUAUUUGCAACUAUAGAGCAGCUUGCCUUUGAAUAAAUGCUAAUAUCAAUGCCCCCAUGGUGUGAAAUGCUGAAAUUAUUAAGUUCAUCCUAGUCUGAGGUGUUCCAUAGUGCACUAUGAAAUGGAUACAAUUACGUGAAUUGUCUCAACGGGGAGUCAAGUGUCUGCUCUCCAGAAAAUGGAUUCAUAAUUACAUACAAAUCAGAAUGGUUAUUGUUAACGCCAUCAGCAGACUGUACCAUUUCUAAAUUUAAGCUAAUUGAGGCCACAUAUAGCAGGUGCUAUGAGAACAUAAAGGAGACAGGUACAUCCAACAGCACAACUACUGUGAUGUAUCACAGCCACAGAAACUACAUGCUGGUUGUCCAACAAUGAUACAUAAGAGGUGAAUACAGACAGUCAAAUUCAAAAGAAAACUAUGAUGAAAACAAGUUAAAGCUCCACUGAGGAACAUUUGGUUUGUGUCAAUUAUGCAUCAUGUAGUUGAAUGGCUCAGAUCUACCCCCUCUCAUCAUUUUGAAACAAAAAUUUACAAUAUUAUAAUGGUCAGAUCAUAGACUGUAUAUACUAUGGACAACUUGGUUCCGCCUCCCGCCUGUAUACGGAUUUGAAGCCAAAAAGCUCUCUGUAUUUUUGAGAUUUUUCUUCAUAUUCCUGAAACCAGCGCUGCACAGUAGCGAUGUGCGCAUUCGGCCGGAGAGUCGCCGAGAGUCCUUGUAAUGACGCUCGGCUCAAACAGCAUACCCCCGGGUGAGCUACGCAAUCCCUAAAUGCCAAUAGGCUGUAUCAGGUGUCAAUCAAAGAAAAUGAGAAAAAUGUAUGUUUUUUGUAAUAAAUUUCUAAAGUUUGUCCACAGCCCCAUAAGCUUUGGCAGAGGCAGGAUAUAUGACCUAUACUGCAGCCAUCAACAGAAUGUGCUGUUCUCAGAGUUGCUUCACCCAGCAAGGAGGCAGACUCUGUCCAUUCUAUGUACAGUCUAUGGGUCAGACUCAUUGCUGAUGGUCUAGCUGUCUUAAAAAGGCAUCAGUUUACCUAAAAAAACUCUUCAUAGGAGCUUUAAAAGUGCACGUUUCUAGAGGCAAGGAGAGAGCAACAACUAGUUUAACAGCACCGGGUUUCGAUCUUCAUUGCUUUAUUCAUAUUGUUCUCUCCCAUUUCAUUUCUUGACACACCAAAAUCUUUUACAUGUUAGAUCUGAAGGUGACUGAAGCAUCCACAAUUUCUGUUCCCCCAUCCCGUGAAUACCACUGUCUGGUAUUUUGAUUGUAGUUCAUCUACGACAGUAAGCAGAGCCCUGAGAAUGAUGGGCACUCAUGGAGCAAUGGUCCCUGGAGUCAGGGGCAUUGAGGAGAGUAGGACUGACUACCCAGCAUCCCAUUGGAGGCAGGGCUCUUCAUUUAGCUGGAAUUAAACCUUUUGUUUUGUGUUUUGUUUGGUCCUAAGUUAUGUGACUUUUUUAAAGAAAAGGCACACAGACUUCAAAACCUCCCUUGACAUCCAAUGAUGUGUAAAACAACCUCCUCCUCUCCAAUCCACCUCAACUGAAAAUAAACCACACUCUCUGACAGACCUUUUGCUUUACAGCAUCAUGAGGAUAUAAACACAUUGUUGGUUUUGUUGGUAUUGUUACAGCACACAUAGUAGAGUCUGGUGGAAGUCUUGAGGUUCUGCAAUGGUGCACACUCAGGCUGCCACAGAACCAACAGCAUCUCAACCAUAGACUGUAUAUACCAUGGACUUGGCUCCACCUACCAUCAUUACACGAAUUCUAAGCCGAAUUGGUCACGGUAUUUCUGGGAUUUUCUCCACUUCGUAGAACCACCACUGGUGCAGUAGCACUGUACACAUUCGGCUGGAGAGUCACAGAGAGUUGCUGUGAUGAUGCUCAGCUCAAACAGUGUACCCCUUGGGUGAGCUACACAAUCUCUGUACACCCAUAGGCUGUAUCAAGUGUCAAUCAUAGAAAAUAUGAACCCCUUAUAACUUUUAAAAAUGGAGCUGCACAGAAAAAAGAGGACCAGUCUUACAGUCUUACAGCAACUACAUGUCAACAUCACAACUGGGGGGAGAAAAAUUUAAACUCUGUGUAAUUAAUUUCGAAAGUUUGUCCACAACUCCAUAGGGAUUGCUGGCGGAGGCGGGAUUUAUGACCUAUACUGCAGCCCAUCACUAGAGGGUGCUGUUCUCGCGGUGGCUUCACCCAGCAAGGAGGCAGACGGCGUCCAUUCUAAACAGUCUAUGAUCUCAACACCUUGCAGAG